UCUCCGUAGGUGAACCUGCGGAGGGAUCAUUACCGAGUGAGGGUUUUAUGACCCGACCUCCCACCCAUGUUAUUCAAACCUUUGUUGCCUCGGGGGCGACCCGCGCCUUCUGGGCGUCGGGGCCCCCGGUGGACCAUUAUCAAACACUGCAUCUCAUGCGUCGGAUACUGAAGAAAAUUUAAUCAAAACUUUCAACAACGGAUCUCUUGGUUCUGGCAUCGAUGAAGAACGCAGC
rnacentral:misc_RNA from 1 species